AGGUCUUGACAUCCUUUGAAGCUUUUAGAGAUAGAAGUGUUCUCUUCGGAGACAAAGUGACAGGUGGUGCAUGGUCGUCGUCAGCUCGUGUCGUGAGAUGUUGGGUUAAGUCCCGCAACGAGCGCAACCCUUAUUGUUAGUUGCCAGCAUUCAGAUGGGCACUCUAGCGAGACUGCCGGUGACAAACCGGAGGAAGGCGGGGACGACGUCAGAUCAUCAUGCCCCUUAUGACCUGGGCUACACACGUGCUACAAUGGCGUAUACAACGAGUUGCCAACCCGCGAGGGUGAGCUAAUCUCUUAAAGUACGUCUCAGUUCGGAUUGUAGUCUGCAACUCGACUACAUGAAGUCGGAAUCGCUAGUAAUCGCGGAUCAGCACGCCGCGGUGAAUACGUUCCCGGGUCUU
rnacentral:rRNA from 1 species